UGGGGAAUAUUGCACAAUGGGCGCAAGCCUGAUGCAGCGACGCCGCGUGAGGGAUGACGGCCUUCGGGUUGUAAACCUCUUUCAGUAUCGACGAAGCGCAAGUGACGGUAGGUACAGAAGAAGCACCGGCCAACUACGUGCCAGCAGCCGCGGUAAUACAGAGGGUGCAAGCGUUAAUCGGAAUUACUGGGCGUAAAGCGUGCGCAGACGGUUACAUAAGUCGGGUGUGAAAGCCCCGGGCUCAACCUGGGAAUUGCAUUCGAGACUGUGUAGCUAGGGUACGGAAGAGGGAAGCGGAAUUUCAGGUGUAGCGGUGAAAUGCGUAGAUAUCUGAAGGAACACCAGUGGCGAAAGCGGCUUCCUGGUCCAGUACCGACGUUCAGGCACGAAAGCGUGGGGAGCAAACAGGAUUAGAUACCCCCGUAGUCC
rnacentral:rRNA from 1 species